rnacentral:rRNA from 1 species
GACGAACGCUGGCGGCGUGCUUAACACAUGCAAGUCGAACGGAAAGGCCCUGCUUUUGUGGGGUGCUCGAGUGGCGAACGGGUGAGUAACACGUGAGUAACCUGCCCUUGACUUUGGGAUAACUUCAGGAAACUGGGGCUAAUACCGGAUAGGAGCUCCUGCUGCAUGGUGGGGGUUGGAAAGUUUCGGCGGUUGGGAAUGGACUCGCGGCUUAUCAGCUUGUUGGUGGGGUAGUGGCUUACCAAGGCUUUGACGGGUAGCCGGCCUGAGAGGGUGACCGGCCACAUUGGGACUGAGAUACGGCCCAGACUCCAACGGGAGGCAGCAGUGGGGAAUAUUGCACAAUGGGCGGAAGCCUGAUGCAACAACGCCGCGUGCGGGAAGACGGCCUUCGGGUUGUAAACCGCUUUCGCCUGUGACGAAGCGUGAGUGACGGUAAUGGGUAAAGAAGCACCGGCUAACUACGUG